AAAGAAAGGCUUGAUGAAGAAAAAUAAAACACUGGUCAUAUUAAAGUUGUAUACAAAAGAAGACACACUCAUCAAAACAGAGUUGUACACAAAAGAACCAAAAGAAAACAAAAAUCCACAAGUCAUUGGUCAGGCCUCAUUAAAACCUCCUGAGGUAAACCCAUAGGAAAAACCCCCAGGUAGGAAAAAGAGUACCUGAUACUUCUUAUUUGAACAACUAAGAUAAAUAACAGACUCUAAAUAAAAGACUCAAAACUCUAAGAAACAUUUCCACGAUUUCUAAAUUUAAGUUGCAAUCUUAACAGCUGAAUCUCUUAGGUCAAUAGGAUACUCGUCCACUAAUCAGGGACGCAUAUACCUCAUCCAGAUUUUUCUGUAAAGCUGCCUUUGUCUUGGGAUAUUUCAAGACCUCACCCUGCAAAAAAGAAGUUAAUUAGAAUUGACCUUAACAAUCAUGAACCUCUAUGUCUGCAUAAAUGGUAUCUCUAUUUUGAGUUUAAAAACAUUUGUGGCCACUAUCUUAAGUUGGUUUGCAAAAAUAGACUAUUUUUUUUUUGGAUUUGCAAAAUUAGGCUAAGUAUUUUAAAUUUCGGCGUUUUGGGCCACUUUCGGCCCCAAUUCGACAUCUAUAUGCCACAUUUAGAGCCAUAUUCGGACCGAAAUGUGGUCCAAAAUAGCCCGAAUAGACUCAAAUGUGGCUUACAGACGCCAAAAUUUAAAAUAAUUGGUCUAUUUUUGCUAGUCCGAAAUGUGAGAGCUUUGUGAUGAGGAAAGAGAUGGUCAAAAGUGUAUGAAUUGAAGAAGGAGAAGUUCAGAAUUUGAUGGUUGAUGAAGAGGAGGGUUGCGAAUUGGGGAAGAAGGUUCCACGUUUAGGAUAAAUGAGAAAGAUUUAUGUUUUUAUUUUUUUUAAAAAUAGGGUUAAAUAGCAGAUGCACCCCUAAAGUAGAGGCCCCUAAAGCAUAUACUCCCACAUUCUCGAUCUUAGCUCAAAUACACCCCCAGAGUCCAUAAAAAUGGUGCAUUUAAACCCAGGCCUUUAGCGUCCCUUAUCUUUUAAAUCUGGUUGAAGCGAGAAAGUUGUUCGACGAAAUGCCUGAGAGAAAAAUGAAAGUUUCGGCGAAAGCAUAUUCAACUCCGACAGGGUUCACGAUAUACAAUCCAGAACUCGAUUUCAUGGGGAGAUCUUUUCAACCCUCAUGGAAUAUAAGGUAGUCCAGAUGAGAUAGGAUUGUAUAGCUCUUCCCUAUUGGUGUGGAAGAUAGUGUGGCGUGUAUGUAAUCAUGUUACUCUACACCAAGAAUCUUGGGACUGAACAAGAGAAUUAGAAAUAUAUACUUCCAAGAAUUUAUGCAACCAGUGACGUAGCCAGACUUUUCAGUCAGGGGGGCCAAAUACUCUCUUGGUUCCAACUAACUUCAUAAUUUUUUUUUUUACCGUCUCAAUUAAGUUGAUCAAUUUUCUUAUAUGGAAUAAAUACAUAUAAGCAAAACAAAAAAAUAAUCACUUAUUCACUUUAUUACCAAAGACACUUAAAAUAUUAAGUCUUAAAUUUUUUGUCGAAAAUAAGUUGAUCAAGUUAGCUGGGACGAAGAAAGUAAUAAUCAUAAUAUUAUAAAAGACUCCGAAUAUAUAGCAAUUUCAAUAAAAUCAUAAUGCUACAUUAGUUGCACCAUAAUAUUACAAAGAUAAAAAUAAAUAUUCUACCAUCAUAAAAUUUCUCUUCUAUUUAAUUUUCAUGUUUUGAAAUCGCUACAUAAUCGUUUCAUUAGUACAUAUUUACAAAUUCAUAAUUUCUGAUGUAAGAUAUUAGACAAUCAUUCGAUAGCGUAUCUCAUAUACGAUUGAGUAGAGAGAAAUUGGGAUUAUUACAAAAAAUAAUAAUAAUAUUUAUAUAUUUAUUUAAUAUUAAAUAUAAAAUUACUAAAAUACCCUAAUGUUUUUAAAAUUUUCAGUGGGGCCCAGUGCCCCCACUGCCCUCCUCUAGUUACGUCACUUUAUGCAACGAUCUUCAUCAUGCCACCUCAAAAAAAAAAAAAAAAAAAAAAAAACCGGAAUCUUCAUCACUCCUCUAAGACAACCCAAUAUGCAACAUUAUUGUUGUGAUUGCUUAGACAACUCUCGUAGUUUUAGUCAAGAAGAGGUAAUAUGUUUUCAAAUUCCAAGAUGCAUAGUGCGAGGCGUGGGGAUUACUUAUGGAAGCCGAAUUGGAUGUGCCGGCGGUGGCGAGAGGAAGAGCAACCGGCCGUCGAUAUUCAGGAAAUUGAAGCCGCCGCCGCCGCUUGCUGGCAAAAGUGAAGAAGUCAGUAACCGCCGAAUUGGAGAGGGGAGAGCAACUGUAGCAUGUAAUGACGCAGGGUAAACACCGACCACUUUUCUCUCAGGUAUUUCGUCGAACACCUUCGUCACUUCAACCAGAUUUAAAAGAUAACCGACGCUUAACUUGUGUUAAAAGCCUAGGUUUAAAUGCACCAUUUUUAUGAAUUCUGGGGUGUAUUUGAGCCAAUGUCGAUAAUGGGACGUAUACGAGCUUAGGGCUUCUACUUCAAUGGUGUAUAUGCACCUUAACCCAAAAAAAAUAAUCUAUCUAAGCAUCAAAAUGACAUUUUUUUGAUGCAUUGAAACGAUACGUUGUCGGAUAUAUUCUCUCAAGCGGAACAUAACAUAAAUAAAAAACAAACUCGAAAUUGAAGAGUUUUAAAUUAAUUAAAUAAAAAAGUAAAGAAAAAUACCUUUUCAAUAAUCUCGUUAGUGUCAGAACAUCUAUAUAUCCCUUCGUUGAAAAUUAUAGUCCCUGUUGUCGUUGCUAA
rnacentral:lncRNA from 1 species